GAUGAACGCUGGCGGCGUGCCUAAUACAUGCAAGUCGAGCGAACAGACGAGGAGCUUGCUCCUUCGACGUUAGCGGCGGACGGGUGAGUAACACGUAGGUAACCUACCUAUAAGACUGGGAUAACUUCGGGAAACCGGAGCUAAUACCGGAUAAUAUUUCGAACCGCAUGGUUCGAUAGUGAAAGAUGGCUUUGCUAUCACUUAUAGAUGGACCUGCGCCGUAUUAGCUAGUUGGUAAGGUAACGGCUUACCAAGGCAACGAUACGUAGCCGACCUGAGAGGGGGAUCGGCCAAACUGGAACUGAGACACGGUCCAGACCCCUACGGGGGGCAGCAGUGGGGAAUCUUCCGCAAGGGGCGAAAGCCUGACGGGGCAACGCCGCGUGAGGGAUGAAGGUCUUCGGAUCGUAAAACUCUGUUAUUAGGGAAGAAAAAACGUGUAAGUAACUGUGACCGUCUGGACGGUACCAAAUCAAAAAGCCACGGCAAACUACGG
rnacentral:rRNA from 1 species